rnacentral:lncRNA from 1 species
GCAGGAGAGGUCCAUGAGGCCGAGGCAGCCGCCGAAUCUCUGUGCGUCGCCGAGGAACGGCCCCCAGGGCCGCAAGAGUCAUCCAGACCAUGCCCCCCCGUAUUCAGUAAGAGGGGAGAAGAGCACGCCAGGUUCCUAUCCCACAACCCUCACUUCGCUGUCUAGCUUAGCCGGAGCUCAUGCAAAUGCUGCGGGGAGCCCGGCCCCGGCCAUCUCAGGAACGACGGAGCACAAUGCCAGCGCGUCAAUGUCCUCUGUUCAUCACCCAUUCGCUGCUUUCCCUCCCUUCGCCCAGUUCGGCCGGGACAGCGGCAGCUCGUACCUCAACAUGUCGUCUGCCUUUUCAAGCCUCAUCGUUUCCACCCUGAUGCAGAAUCCCGCGGUCCAUGCAGCGGCCACCGUGGCAGCCUCCUUCUGGCCGACCGCAGAUGCUGAAGCUUCGACGGGUUCUGCUUCAGAGAGCUUCGUGGGGGGGAUCCCCAUGAGGCAGAUGAACCCUUCUCCGAGCAUGGCCGCAAUCGCCGCCGCUACAGUCGCGGCGGCGUCGGCGUGGUGGGCGACGCACGGGCUCCUGCCAUUUUGCCCUCCUCCGGCUGCUUUCCACGGCGGCUUCGCAUUCGCUCCGGCGCCGACAAGCGCCAUUCCCAGAACCAAGACCGCCUAUGCUGCAAAAGACGACACCCAGAGGAAAGAAGAGGCCA